UGAGUACCAGAAGUAAGGGACCACUGGAGGCCAUUGUGGAGGCUGGAUGCCACAGAUAUGAAAUGCACUGCUGGGUUAGGGUCUCCCCAACAGAGCUGGUCUCAGCAAGUGGUGUCCAUCAUGGGGGCUCAGAUCCAGGUUGAAGGGUCGCCGGAGCAGCGGUUGGAGAACGUGGAACUAGCUGGAGGACACCUGAAUACUCUUAAAGCAAUCCCCAUGGAGGAGUUAAUCCUUGAGGAUUGGAACCUAACUCUCUUUGGCAAAUGGAUGUCACACAUGUUACCUCGUUUGGGAGACUAGCUUAUGUACAUGUAUGUGUAGACACCUUUUCUCACUUUGUCUGGGCUACAUGCCAAUCAGAAGAGUCUUCUGCUGUGUUAAAUGUCACCUUUUGCAGUGUUUUGCUGUGAUGGGCAUUCCAGCUUCUAUUAAAACAGAUAAUGCCCCAGGUUAUACUAGCCAAGCUCUAGCUACAUUUUUCUCUAUAUGGAAUAUUAAACACAUUACUGGUAUCCCAUACAAUUCUCAAGGACAAGCCAUAGUGGAAAGAAUGAAUCUUUCCCUAAAAUAGCAGUGCAAAAGCCGAAAGGAGGAAAUAGAGAAUAUGGAACCCCACAGAUGCAACUGAAUCUAGCAUUAUUAACUUUAAAUUUUUCAAGCCUGCCCAAAGGCCAGAUGUUAACAGCAGCUGAACAGCAUCUACAGAAACCAGCUGCAAAGACAGAAGCAGAACAAUUGAUUUGGUGCAGAAAUCCGAUAACAAAAAGUUGUGAAAUAGGUAAAAUAAUAACUUGGGGUAGAGGUUAUGCUUGUGUUUCUCCAGGCCAUAAUCAAGAGUCGAUUUGGAUACCAUCAAGACACCUGAAACCUUAUCAUAAGCCAGAUGCCAAGGAAGAGACUCUGGGAGUAUCCCGAGGAUCCCCCAGUUGCAGCCAUGUUGAGAUUGACAACCCCAACUGUCAUGAGCAACACCCAUCGAACACAGCCACCCACCUAGGGAUGGAUCAAGAAGCUGUCACAGAUGGCAGAAGAAAACCUGAGGAAAGCAGGACAACCACUCACUAUGAGUAAUUUAAUGGUAGCUAUGAUAGCAGUGAUCACCAUUGCCAUGAGUAUUCCUUCAAUAAAGGCUGACACAGGGAAGAAUUAUA